AUGUUUAUUCAGAAAUACUUUGAAGCAUCUGUAGCGUGCCCAAUAUUGCAUAGAAUGGGUUGUUUACGUUGUCAAUUGUCUAUAUGUUUAUUUCCAUUUUAUAGAUUCUUUGCGACAAAUCUUCAAUCCCAGUAUUGGCCAGCUACAGCAGAUGCCCAGAAGAUUCCUGGGACCUUCCUGACUGCCUACUGGAACAUGCUUUUUUUUUUCUUUUUAAGAGGCUGGUACAGCUAGACAGCACUUGACAUGGGUUCUUACUUCCCUGCUCCUGGCCUGUGUCCACGCAGAAGGCAUCACCAACAGCUCACAGACUCAGUCUCUCAGACAUGGUGAGACUGCCUGGUCAAGAGAGUGAUUCUUCUUUAUCUGCCUUUAUAAAGCCCUUCCUCUUGGUUCUUGUUUCUGGAUUCAUAGACUCUUCUCGGUCCCCAGAUGAUUGGCAGAAUUUUGAUAACUCACAUAAUGGAUUAUCUCACUCUUCAAGUCAGACCCAGUCCACGGGAUACAAGUUCAACAGGUAAGGUUGCCCACCCAUAUACUAACCCCAGCCCCAGAGCAACAGAUGUUAUGAGUACAUCACAGUGGUGGGUCCGUCUACAAACAUUGGGCUGAAAUGUGAGCCUGCUGGGGUUUUUUUCUCCCCCAUGUUCUCUGUUGCUGUUUUGCCUGAUGUUUUAGUUAUCUAUGGCUGUGUAACAAAGCACCCUGAAAGUGGUCUUAAAAGGAGCCAAAGUCCGUGAGUUGGAGAUUGACUGUGUCAGCUGGUUAGUCCUUGCUUGGGGUCUCUUAUGAGAUUGUAGGCAGUUGGUGACUGGGGCGGGAUCAUCUUGAAAGCCUCUUGAGGCCCAUGUUUGGCACCUGGGCUGAGAAGAAUGGCUGGCGCUCCACAGGCAUCUGUCUCUGAUCUUCCCACAUGUGGUCUCACCGGUAUGGAGACUCCUGACACGACACUGAAGCCUCCAUUCACUGGUGGCCUGUGAAUCCGUGAUCCUACUCAGCAUCAGCACAUGGGGAUGAAAGGAAACUGUCACUACUCAGAUAAAUAGUGCGCCACCAAGACCAUAGCCGUUUAAAUUCCAUAUGACCGGGAAGAGACAUUUCAAGAAGGCAUCUAGUCUACAAACUGUAACUAGUCUUUGAUCGGCUAUCAGGUUUUCAACAUCGUUGUACUACUUCCCGAGGAACAAGCCCAGGAGGGGUAAGUCUGGGCCUCCUGUGUUUU
rnacentral:lncRNA from 1 species